GACGCUCGUGUUUUCCUCGCGGCACGUUGCGUGUACGCAAACACGCACGAGACCGACCAGGUGAAACGGGCGGCCGUUUUUCGCCUCUGGAUGGAAGAGGAGGAACUGGUGUGUGCUUCGAGGCAGGCGGCCGUAUGAUAAAUGCAUCCGAGCCGGCCGACAUGCAGCAAAUGAGGGACGCGUUCGUUCGUUCAUUCCUCGUAUCGUGUCGUGUAUACACGCGUGCACCGUUCGUGAACGCGUUAAAGGAUCCGCCGACGGCCACGGAAUUAUAACGCUGCCUGCCUCUUAAGCCAGAAAUCCAUCUUAUUUUCUUACACACCAUCGACUGUCAUCGGCUGCGAUCAUCGAACGUCGCGUAUUUCUUUUUUUUUUUAUAUAUCUCUCGACAGAGACUGCUCGUUAUUGCCUGUUACUCAUGUUACUUUGGAUCGGUUAAACAGCUACUUGUUUAGCGACUCGUUGCAGGGUAAUUGAAGGGUAGUCUGGUUCAAAUUGAAGCAAUACGACGGAGAUAAGAUGGAUCACAGGGAUCGAGAUAAUUCGAAAAUUGGGAAUUGGAUAGGUGGCUGGAAGACGAAGCGACUUUCUCUGGCCAAACGUUGUCAAUACAUCCUAUGGAUCAAUAUAAGAAAGAACUGUGACAUGAACGUAUGUCACUGAAAGCAUUGUUGCAGCGUUAGAACGAGAAGACGAUGUGUGAAAUGGAUGGUAACGAAGUUGCAUCACUACGGUACAAAUACGAUACGUUAAACAUCGCAAGGAUCAAGAACUUGACGCAUUUUCCCAGUCUCCCGAUCGCAAAUACUACUGUACUAGUAGCUAAAUAUAAUUGCGGUAUUUGGUACAUGCUUGAAGAAUCCCUGGACGUUCCAAGAUGCCGAAUCGAGUCGCGAAUUGGCAAGAAACGUUGUUUCCCCCGCGCAGAGAGAAUGAUCGAAGGUGGAAGUGACGAGCGAACGUGAAAGGGGGCCAUAGGGAGAGGCGAGCACAGAGAGGGGUUGAUUUUUCUCAUUGGCCAGGGGCGUGGGACGGUGCGGUGCCGUGUACGAGCCAAGAACGAGCCGGCUUCUUCAAGUUUUUACCGGCGACCAGAGUGACUCAGCGGCUAUUUCUCAUUACCAGGCCGAUAUUUUUGUAAAAUUGGAUUUUCGUGUGAGAAAGCCCGCGACCCUGACUACCCCUCCUCCAACAAACCAUCGUCCUCCUUCCUCAACGACCAUCUUUGAACGUGUUUCCUUCUGUAGAUCAUCGUUUAACCGUUCGUUGAAAUUCACCUGCGACUGAUGUAACAGAAUUCCUUUUCCUUUUCCCUCGUUCCGUUAAUAGGUUCCAAUGCUUCUUUUUGUUUCCCCGCCACUUGUGAAACAAUUAGGAAUUUUAAACUGAGCGACUUUAGCAAUCUGUGCAGUUUCGAUCCGUGAACUUUACUAUUUUGUUGAAAGAGAAAACGAACGGGGGGGGGGGGGAGAAAUUGAAUUUACUAUGGAUACGAAAUAGACUAUUAAAUUAUUUUAAAGUGCAACGAAAUGAACCGAGAUCGAAACUAACCGAAAGUAGCAAGAACACUGGAAUUUUUCAUAUCUGCAUGAGUACUGUUUAACAACUAUCGAUUACGUAACAAAACGUUUGGGGCCUCUAUUUUCCUUUCCACUGUGUACUAUUACUUUCUUCCUGGGCAAAUCGAUUUUCUUUAAAUAUUUAACUUUCUCUUCUAUUAUUAUCCAUCUUCCUUUUUUCUUUUAAUAUUUCUAGUUUCCUCGUGUGUUUUUAUAACAGGAUGUAAUUUUCUGUAGAUUCCGUAUAAACGCCUCGACAUUGAUAAAAAUCUAUCGACUCGUAUUCGCGAAACAAUUAAGUUCGUGAGAGGAACUUGAUACCAAUUUUUCUUCGCUAUCACUUCCUUUCUCUUCAAUUACCGUUGACUCUAUCAUAGAAUAUCAUGUAGCAAAAUUUGAAAAAAUGUUAAGUACGCUCUUUAUGUAUCUUAAAAGUAACUACCUGCAAUUAUUCUUAAUAAACGGCGAGAAGAAAACAGUCAAACAGUUUAAAAA